rnacentral:rRNA from 1 species
UACGAAGGGGGCUAGCGUUGCUCGGAAUCACUGGGCGUAAAGCGCACGUAGGCGGACUCUUAAGUCAGGGGUGAAAUCCUGGAGCUCAACUCCAGAACUGCCUUUGAUACUGGCGAUCUCGAGUCCGGGAGAGGUGAGUGGAACUGCGAGUGUAGAGGUGAAAUUCGUAGAUAUUCGCAAGAACACCAGUGGCGAAGGCGGCUCACUGGCCCGAUACUGACGCUGAGGCACGAAAGCGUGGGGAGCAAACAGGG